UACGUAGGGUGCAAGCGUUAAUCGGAAUUACUGGGCGUAAAGGGCUCGUAGGCGGCCAACUAAGUCGGACGUGAAAUCCCCAGGCUCAACCUGGGAACUGCGUCCGAUACUGGGAUGGCUUGAAUUCGGGAGAGGGAUGCAGAAUUCCAGGUGUAGCGGUGAAAUGCGUAGAUAUCUGGAGGAAUACCGGUGGCGAAGGCGGCAUCCUGGACCGACAUUGACGCUGAGGAGCGAAAGCGUGGGGAGCGAACAGG
rnacentral:rRNA from 1 species